CUAAGAAAAGCCACGCGCAGCCUAUUCCUUCUCCCCACCUCUCCGCACGCCCAGCAGCUGCUCCCCCGCCGCCACCCACACGCGCCCAGCUCCCCUGUCGCCGCUCAGCACGCCUGCAAGCCGUCGCUGCCGCGCGCCUCGCCCCAUCCGCUAGCACUCCGACGCCACCGUAUCACCUGCAACUCCGCAUUGGCGACGGAUUCGUUAGGGUCUGGGCCUCCCUCCUCUAGAUCUGGCCGGAGCCACUGGCUUCCUUGCCUGGGUUCAGAUCCAUGGUGGCCAUGGUCGGACCGAGGGCCCCAGUGCUGGCCGGAGCGCCACCCUGCCCGUACGCCAAUGCCAUCGGCCUCGCCCCCCACGAAGUGAUGAUUUAGGGGCGCAGGAUUUGGAAUUUGGGAUGAUACGGCCAGAUCCGACGCGAUAAAAGUCGCCGCUACUGGACUUCCCCGCUGUUACCGGACAAACCCAAGCGAAGUCCCACAAGAACGAGGAGAGGGAGACGGGGGAGAGUCGGUGAGCCGAGGGCAGGAGCCGAGACAGCAGAAUGGCGUCACCGGGGAUGGUGGCCAUAGCGCUGCUGGUUCUGCGGCACAGUCCGCUGCGGACGGGCAGCAUGUGGACUUCCGAGGGGUUAAAGCCUACGGGAUGUUAAGUAGCAAUUGCUGCUUAGUUCUUCUCCCUAAAUUUAUUGCUGGGGAAUCUACUUUUCUAUGUUUGUUAAGAUGAAAUCGGUACCAUUUUAUUUGUGCACUGUCUGUGCAAAACUGGAAAUUCAGAUUAUUACAGUUCUCAUAUUUUGCUAUAAUCUUGAGUUAAAUUUUGGUAUGAUUUGUUACACCUAUAUAUCUCAUCUGUCAUCUGAAUUGUCUUACACCUCUAUAUCUCAUCUGACAAACCUUGCUUAAUUAUCUUAUCUUAUUUGCACUUGCUGAACACUAGGGUAAUAUACAAAUGUAGUCAGUAUUAUAGAACGAGGGUUCAAGAGUUGAGGCAUGUUCUUCUCUACAUAUAAGCAAAAUUUAUAGUCAAAAGGAAGCAUUUCAAUCCUGGUUACAUUCUGAUCUGAAAAAUCACAAUGUUUCAGUUAGUAGACAAACAUAGUGCUUAUUCAGUAGGCAUGCUGACAAUGAAUUUUAGCAUUUCCAGGCAUGCUGACAGUGCUUGAAGGCAGUGGUGAUUUGCGGCAAUCAUGUGAUCUACCUUUUUUUGCGAGGAUGUGAACUACCCUCGACGUGAACUACUAAGUGUGCAUGUCUGCAAACUCUUUGUUCAAGAAUCUACUUUUCUAUGUUUGCUAAGAUGAAAUCGGUACCAUUUAAUUUGUGCACUGUCUGUGCAAAACUGGAAAUUCAGAUUAUUACAGUUCUCAUAUUUUGCUAUAAUCUUGAGUUAAAUUUUGGUAUGAUUUCUUACACCUAUAUAUCUCAUCUGUCAUCUGAAUUGUCUUACACCUAUAUAUCUCAUCUGACAAACCUUGCUUAAUUAUCUUAUCUUGUUUGCACUUGCUGAACACUAGGGUAAUAUACAAAUGUAGUCAGUAUGAUAGAACGAGGAUUCAAGAGUUGAGGCAUGUUCUUCUCUACAUAUAAGCAAAAUUUAUAGUCAAAAGGAAGCAUUUCAAUCCUGGUUACAUUCUGAUCUGAAAAAUCACAAUGUUUCAAUCAUUUGACAAACAUAGUGCUUAUUCAGUAGGCAUGCUGACAAUGAAUUUUAGCAUUUCCAGGCAUGCUGACAGUGCUUGAAGGCAGUGGUGAUUUACGGCAAUCAUGUGAUCUACCUUUUUUUGCGAGGAUGUGAACUACCCUCGACGUGAACUACUAAGUGUGCAUGUCUGCAAACUCUUUGUUCAAGAAUAUUUCUAGUAGUUACUCAUCUUAUUACUCAAUUGGCAAACAGCUGAUGUCAGGUUACUCUGUUACUGCUAAUAUUAAAACUGUCAUUGCUUUUGUCCGUGUAUAAGAAUUUUGUUAUAGUGGCCAUAUUAAUCUGACUAUCUGAAACAUGAAUGUAUUAAUCUGACUAUCUGAAGCAAAUUGUGCUACUUGUACAGGAGGGAAAAGGGAAGUGUUGAUUUGUCCAGAUGCUGCUGCCAUUUCCUUCCAGACGUAUUUUUGACUAUCUUUCAUAUUUUUUCACUGGGAGUUCUCUAGCCAAUCAAAUAGCAUAUCUUUACUAGCAGAACUUUUCUGCAAGAAUCAUCAGGGUGUUAAGUUGAGACCCUACAUGUGUAAUGAAUUGGUGGAUUGAUGUAAUGAUAUUGUAUUUACUGUGGAGAUGUUAAUUUAUUUGGAUCUGAUGUUUUAU